GGUUUGGUUAGAUGUCAUAGAGGAAGAUUACACACUCCAUGCAGCAUCAGGUUACCAGAAAGCUGAGAAUGGCAGUCUUGCCCCCUCAUCUCCUUGCAGCUGGCUCUGCUUCGCUUAAUUCUGUAGUCCCUCCAUGACCAUUGUGCCUGGCUCAUCUUCUUCAGCAGAACUGUGCGAUGUGACACUUACCCGGGAUGAGCUGAGGCUUGCCCUUCAGCUGUGACCCACACCUACAGAUACCUGCAGUGAGAUGACUGCUGGUGGAAUGAUGGGAGAUAAGUCAAUGUUUUUUUUUUUCAUGUUCUCAGGAUAAUUUUAUCUAUGAUGAUAGCUAUUAUAGUUAUCUGUGAAUAAAAUUGAUGUCAAUUUUAGAUUGGGACUAUAAUGAUAGUCAUGCCAACAAGUAUUUAAUUGCCUGACUAUGUCAUUGACUUACAGACAAAGUAACUUUUUGGCAGCUCCCACAUGAUCCAAAACCAGAUUGCUUUCUGACCUUCAAAAAUUAUACAAUACUAAUAAAAAUAUUUAUAAUCUUUAAUGAGAGUUUGUGUUAUCAGAAGUAAUUUAAAAUUCAUUUUUAGGCCCUUUAUGCAUUUUGAAUUUUGUAAUUAUUAUGCAUGCUUUAAGUUGAUAAGGGAUCAACUUAUAUUUCUCUUGCUUAGAACAGUUUUGUACUUGUCAAUUUUCUCUAAUGUGUAUUCCCUUCCUUUGUGAAUAUACAGAUAUAACUAGCACAUUUGUAUAUGGAUUAAAGUUGUACUGAUCAGUUUACCCAGUCCAGUAAGAAUUAAAGAAGCAGCAUGUAGAGCCUGAGUGACAAAACUCACAGGUGCUGUGACCUAUUCUGAAAUUAGUGCUGUUGAUGAGAAAUAUUUAGGAGGUCUGCUAUCUAUGGUAUGGUUGCAAGGGGGAAAUAUGAGUAAUGAUGGCCCCUUUACAAGAAGGCCAGACUUUUAUGCAUUUAAAACUCCCGGCGUAAGAAGUGCACAUUUGGCCAUGAACACUGAAGCAUGGUUUCAUUAACUUGGUUAUGUUAAUAAUCAUUUGACUAACCUUGAAUGUUGUUAGCUAAAGCACGUGUUGUUACUGACCUGAAAGGAGGGGGGUGGGGGGGGUUUAGAUUACAGUGAUUAUUUUAUAGAAUGAUCUCGAGAUAUUGAAAAUAUUUUUAUUACUAUUCUGUCUUCUGCUGUUUUCUUUCAGCUGAGAUCAUACUAAACUUAGGGAUACAACUGUAACCAGUGAUUUAGACCCUCUGUGUAUUUACAAGCGCUGUAAUAAUACUCUGUGGUGUAGUAGCCUGGGCAUGGAUAUAUGUUCUUUUGUGUCCAUCCACCACAGAAACAGUUCUUGUGCUUAAGGGCACAGCAACUGUAUCCACUGUAGGGAACCUAGCCAAAAAAUUGCAUAUUUUACAAAUGGGUUAUAGUAGCCUUACCUGUUUGUUUUGUUUUGUUGUAGUUGUUUUGACUGUUAAUCUUGCCUUACUUUUUUUCUUUUCCUGUUCUGACUCAGCUAAUAUAGGAUUAUGAAGAAUGUAUCGCUGAAGGAUUAAUUUUAUUUGUCAAAUGCAAAACAUUUUUUUUUUUAUUAUUACUCUUGGAUCAGAGAUAUUUUGCAGUAUAAACAAGAGCAUGACAAAAUCUGGUAGGUUGGUGCAGAGUUGUAGGGAGGAUAGAAUCUGGAUGACUUGACAGAAUCUACACUUAACCCUUCCCUUCUUUUCCUGAGUGCAAAUUAAUACUUUACCAGCCUGCCAGAAGAGGCCAUAAGUUAUGGGCAGAAAUCUGGAGCAAAGGUCUUUUAUUAUGUGUUUUUAGAAGAAGAAGAAGAAAAAAAAUCCUCCCAAACCUAAAGGAACAAGUUCAACUAUUAUGAGAAAUGAAGAAAUUAUAAAGGAGUCAGAACAGAGCUGCCCCUGCUUCAUCUUAGGCUAUAACACAAACUAUAAAACUGUGACAGGGAUUAUAAGGAAAUCUGAUUUUCCUCGUUAUCUGGUUGAUCAAAAGUAGUAUCUGAUUACUACAAAUUUGUUGUGGGGUCCUAGUGGGAAUAUUCUUCAUUUUCUGAAUGGUGUAGAAAAAUUAGAUCUCAAUACACCAAAAUAUUUGAAUAAACAGGUUGGCUUAAUGGUUUAGGCUGAAGACAUAUUUAGAACCUUUGCUGGACUGGAAUAGAUGCCUCAUUCAAAGCACAAAAUGUGCUAUUAGGAGGUACAGGUAAUUCAAUGAAAACUGGGUUGUAAUUCUGUCAAUCAGCAAAGUGGGUUGCUAAGUGGUGGUAGAGGAAGUAAGGCUGCUUCUAGGUGAAAUGCCUAUUGUUCUUGGUUGUUGCUCUUGGGGUGUUUGAGUAACUUUAUUGAUGAUCACUUCCAUGGCAUGUAGCCAUAGCCAUAUGGAAGCAUUUAAUUGACUGAAAAGGUGUUUUAACAUAUCACCUUAGACCCAUAUUAAAAAUUCAUCAUUUGGGUUUCAUGCUCUACUGAGAAAAAGCAUAAAGAUGUGGUGUCGGUUAAAGGUGUUGUCUUCAGAUUCCUUUCUGUGCUUCAAGGUACGACCAAAGGCUUCCAUCAGGU